GCACAGCCGCCCGGGAGCAGGGCAGCUGCCCCGCUUGGACAAGCGUCUGGGAUAAAAAUCAGUGCCAGGAUCGCUCAGACAAGUUGUGCUGCUGGGGUCACUGCACGGUCCAUGGCCCAUCUCGUGCCCGGGGAUGUGUGCUGAGGAAGCACAAGCCGCUGGCUGCCCUCCAGGAAUAGAUAAGCUGUUUAGUUAUAGAAUAACUCGAUUAACCAGGCUGUGCGGGGACAGCAGAUCACCACUGCCAAGCCCGAGAUGCGGGCCCGAUGUGCCCUUUGGCCUGUUGUGAUAAAGCAGCAGGUUCAGCCUGGAGCAGGAAGGAAGGUGGGAAAGCCUUGCUGCAAAGUCGGGAGCGGCGCACAUACCCAGGGACUCGAAGGACACCUUUGGCAAUAGCUCACGAGGACACAGAGCCCGCCUCCUGAGGCCUGGGAGCAGCCCUCCGAACCUAAUGGACGUGACCCGAUUUGUUAGUGCUUGGUGUCUGCCCAGCCCACUCCAGGCAGCAACCUCAAGGCCAAGGCUGGGAAAAGAUGGGACUUUUCUCCCUCUGGAGGGGUGAGACUGGGAAGGGAAGAGCACCAAAACUUCCUGCAGCCGUCACAGCUUCCUGGGGCUUAGCUGGAGAAGGGAAGGUCGGCUCAUCCCGGGGACAAGCAGCUCAUUUGCUAAAUUAAAGCUCUAACCGAGGAACCAA